rnacentral:rRNA from 1 species
UUUGGGGACAUUUGUAUUCAGAUGUCAGAGGUGAAAUUCUUAGAUUUUCUGGAGACAAACAACUGCGAAAGCAUUUGUCUAAAAUACUUCCAUUAAUCAAGAACGAAAGUUAAGGGAGUGAAGACGAUCAGAUACCGUCGUAAUCUUAACCAUAAACUAUGCCAACUAGGUGUUGGAUGAUUAUAUAAAUGAUAUUAUUAAAUUAUUAUUUUUAUAAUAUUUAUUAAUAUCGAAUUAGUCUUUCAGUACCUUAUGAGAAAUCAAAGUCUUUGGGUUCUGGGGCGAGUAUUCGCGCAAGCGAGAAAGUUAAAAGAAUUGACGGAAGGGCACCACCAGGCGUGGAGCUUGCGGCUUAAUUUGACUCAACACGGGAAAACUCA